rnacentral:rRNA from 1 species
GAUCCUGGCUCAGGAUGAACGCUAGCUACAGGCUUAACACAUGCAAGUCGAGGGGAAACGACAUCGAAAGCUUGCUUUUGAUGGGCGUCGACCGGCGCACGGGUGAGUAACGCGUAUCCAACCUGCCCAUCACUUGGGAAUAACCUUGCGAAAGUAAGACUAAUGCCCAAUGACAUCCCACGAAGGCAUCCGAAUGGGAUUAAAGAUUUAUCGGUGAUGGAUGGGGAUGCGUUCCAUUAG